GAUAAACGCUGACAGAAUGCUUAACACAUGCAAGUCGAUGAUGGGAGCUAGCUUGCUAGCAGAAGUCAUGGCGGACGGGUGAGUAACGUGUAAAGAACUUACCAUAUAGACUGGGAUAACAGAGGGAAACUUCUGAUAAUACUGGAUAAGUUAGUAGUAGCAUUACUAAGUAAUGAAAGGUAGCAAUACGCUAUAUGAGAGCUUUGCAUCCUAUUAGCUAGUUGGUGGGGUAAAAGCCUACCAAGGCGAUGAUAGGUAGCCGGCCUGAGAGGGUGGACAGCCACAAGGGGACUGAGAUACGGCCCUUACGCCUACGGGAGGCAGCAGUGGGGAAUAUUGGACAAUGGAGGCAACUCUGAUCCAGCAAUUCUGUGUGUGUGAAGAAGGUUUUAGGACUGUAAAACACUUUUAGUAGGGAAGAAAGAAAUGACGGUACCUACAGAAGAAGCGACGGCUAAAUACGUG
rnacentral:rRNA from 1 species